rnacentral:rRNA from 1 species
GACGAACGCUGGCGGCGUGCCUAAUACAUGCAAGUCGAGCGGACAGAUGGGAGCUUGCUCCCUGAUGUUAGCGGCGGACGGGUGAGUAACACGUGGGUAACCUGCCUGUAAGACUGGGAUAACUCCGGGAAACCGGGGCUAAUACCGGAUGGUUGUUUGAACCGCAUGGUUCAGACAUAAAAGGUGGCUUCGGCUACCACUUACAGAUGGAUCCGCGGCGCAUUAGCUAGUUGGUGAGGUAACGGCUCACCAAGGCGACGAUGCGUAGCCGACCUGAGAGGGUGAUCGGCCACACUGGGACUGAGACACAGCCCAGACUCCUACGGGAGGCAGCAGUAGGGAAUCUUCCGCAAUGGACGAAAGUCUGACGGAGCAACGCCGCGUGAGUGAUGAAGGUUUUCGGAUCGUAAAGCUCUGUUGUUAGGGAAGAACAAGUGCCGUUCGAAUAGGGCGGCACCUUGACGGUACCUAACCAGAAAGCCACGGCUAACUACGUGCCAGCAGCCGCGGUAAUACGUAGGUGGCAAGCGUUGUCCGGAAUUAUUGGGCGUAAAGGGCUCGCAGGCGGUUUCUUAAGUCUGAUGUGAAAGCCCCCGGCUCAACCGGGGAGGGUCAUUGGAAACUGGGGAACUUGAGUGCAGAAGAGGAGAGUGGAAUUCCACGUGUAGCGGUGAAAUGCGUAGAGAUGUGGAGGAACACCAGUGGCGAAGGCGACUCUCUGGUCUGUAACUGACGCUGAGGAGCGAAAGCGUGGGGAGCGAACAGGAUUAGAUACCCUGGUAGUCCACGCCGUAAACGAUGAGUGCUAAGUGUUAGGGGGUUUCCGCCCCUUAGUGCUGCAGCUAACGCAUUAAGCACUCCGCCUGGGGAGUACGGUCGCAAGACUGAAACUCAAAGGAAUUGACGGGGGCCCGCACAAGCGGUGGAGCAUGUGGUUUAAUUCGAAGCAACGCGAAGAACCUUACCAGGUCUUGACAUCCUCUGACAAUCCUAGAGAUAGGACGUCCCCUUCGGGGGCAGAGUGACAGGUGGUGCAUGGUUGUCGUCAGCUCGUGUCGUGAGAUGUUGGGUUAAGUCCCGCAACGAGCGCAACCCUUGAUCUUAGCUGCCAGCAUUCAGUUGGGCACUCUAAGGUGACUGCCGGUGACAAACCGGAGGAAGGUGGGGAUGACGUCAAAUCAUCAUGCCCCUUAUGACCUGGGCUACACACGUGCUACAAUGGACAGAACAAAGGGCAGCGAAACCGCGAGGUUAAGCCAAUCCCACAAAUCUGUUCUCAGUUCGGAUCGCAGUCUGCAACUCGACUGCGUGAAGCUGGAAUCGCUAGUAAUCGCGGAUCAGCAUGCCGCGGUGAAUACGUUCCCGGGCCUUGUACACACCGCCCGUCACACCACGAGAGUUUGUAACACCCGAAGUCGGUGAGGUAACCUUUAUGGAGCCAGCCGCCGAAGGUGGGACAGAUGAUUGGGGUG